rnacentral:lncRNA from 1 species
GGAUCUUCCUGGUCCUGCCCCGCCCCUCCCGGGCUGUCCAUCACCACCCCUCCGGCCCCCGCCGGAAAGAGGACCUGGAGGAAAAGACCCCUCAGGCUCCGGCCGCAGCUCCACCCGCAGGGGCCGUGGGAAGCGGGCGCUCCGGGGAGGAUGCCGCGCCCAGUAGGGGUCGACCCGAAGAGGGGGUCCCCUCCGGGGGGGGACCUGCCCGGGGCUGGGCGAGGGUAUGAGUUCCCGGCUCCCCCACAUCCAUCACCCUCAGGCCACGCUGAGCUUCCUGGACGCGGAAGCCUAGGCCCCAGCACCGCUGCACCUGCCGGCCGGGCACCCCACUAACGCGGCAUCCCGAGAAGGGCCGACUUCCAGGACGACGCAGCUGCGUGCACACAGCCCCCCUUGGCCCGGUGCGGCGGCCCGCAGGGGAGAACGAGCUUGCAGGGUGCGGGUGCGGGCCGCUGGGGCCGAUCUGGCGUCGCAGAACCCGGGGUCCACACCGUCCAGGCUGCGGCCGCGACGACCCCCUGCCAGGCGCCGGUCUCCUCCGGGAGGGCUCCAGCCCGCGCCACCUCCAGGCACAGGGCGCCCUCGUAACUCCCAAUGAAAGUCCUGCGGGAAACGGUUCCCGACCUCGCCAGGCUGGGGGCAGAAGCGACGGGAUGACGCGGAUUGUAAUCGGAAGAUGGAGUCUCGCUCUGUCGCCCAGGCUGGAGUGCAAUGGCGCGAUCUCGGCUCACCGCGACCUCUGCCUCCCGGGUUCCAGCGAUUCUCCUGCCUCAGCCUCCCGAGUAGGUGGGAUUACAGGCACCUGCCACCAUGCCCGGCUCAUUUUUGUAUUUUUAGUAGAGUCGGGGUUUCACCAUGUUAGCCAGCCUGGUUUCGAACUCCUGACCUCAAAUGAUCUGCCUGCCUUGGCCUCCGAAAGUGCUGGGAUUACAGGUGUGAGCCACCGCGCCUGGCCUAUCACAAUUCUUGAUUGUUUAAAGUGCAAUUAUUUGGAGAAAAUAAUUUUAAAUGUUCUCUGGGAAUUUAUUGUAGAAAGCAGUUAGACUUUUACCAGUGGUCACAACUUCACUGAUGAGAAUGAUAACCCAUUAAUAAAACAGCCCUCUUCUUCUGAGACUUGAUUUUGAAUAUUCUGAUCUAGAUAGGCAGAUUCUAAAGCUACUCAACACCCCGAACCCUGUGACCACAUCUCCCAGAGCAGGGUACUGGGACUGGUUUCCGUUCCCUUGGCAUGUCCCUGAGGCAAUGCUUGAAGACACCUGUAAUUGCCACAAGACACAUUUUCCUAACCCCCAGGCUGCCAGUCAAUUGCUAGUUACCAGCUUCUGAAAACCAUACAGGGAAGGGAUUAAGAAGUGGGCUCUGGAAUUAAGCCACCUCGUUCAGUUCCUGGCCCUGCCACUCACUAAGGGAUAUUGAGCAAGUUACUUAGCUUCUGUGCCUGGAGUCUUACCCAAAACAUGCCGGUGAUAAUGACAGUGCCCGCUGUGAGGGUGAGGACCAAAGGCUCUAACACGGGGAUCCCGCUGGGCACAGUCAGGGUGAGCUGCCCUGCUAGCCUGCUGCCUAGUGUCCUGGGAGUCCAGUAAAAGCAAACCAGCACCUGCCUUGCUGCCUCUGGAGUCCCCUCUUUUCCAGAUAGAGUCCCCUUGGUAGGUGCCCUGACUCAAGGUGCCCAGGCCUCCUCCUCCUCCUCCAUAGCAGGAAGGAAGCUGGGCACCAGACCAAGAACUGGGAUGGGCCAGGCAGCAAGACUGUGGGCAGCCCAGGAAAGAGAACAAACCCACUGCCUGCCACAACAGCUGUGGGAAGGGGCUGCUGCAGAGGAUGUAGGUGGCAGGGAGGGGACCAUGCCAGGACACUCACAGAGUAAGAAGCAGCGAGCUGAUGAGUCUUAGUCCCAGGAACAAAUGAACAUUACCAGCAAUAAAAUAAUGGCUGGUUUCUGAUUCUGCUAAGUAGUAGCAUAUUAAAGAAAACUGCCAUCCUGACACCCUUCUAGAUGAGAGGAUGCUACAUUCUGACUUGGGUUUCAGCCCAGCCAGUCCUGUGAGGUGGAAGUCUCAGAACCAUCCCCAGCUCAAGAGCAAAGUCUAUACUGUAAGUUGAAUGCUAAUACAUCUUUCUUGGUGUUUUUAGAUCCCAGAGCCCCAGGAAUAAAAUGCAGAGGAUCCACAGUUGCCUCCCAGUUUUAUUAGGAUGGUGCAAAAGUAAUUGCAGUUUUUCCAUUAAAAUUAACAGCGAAAAAUGCAAUACUUUUACGCCAACCUAAAUAAUACAGGUAACUUUAAAGUCCCCUUCUUGAAGCCCCCUUCUGAGGUAGUCCCCUCUCCCACCCCCAGUCUUUUUUUUUUUUUUCAACGUAGAGCAAGGUCAAUUGUGAGGGUGGUGAAUGGGUGACUGGAACCCACAAACUUGACGCAUGGGAAGGCCGGGUCAGAAGUCAGGGUGUGGGUGUGGCUCUGAAAGGUGGCAUUUUAUAGAAACAUGGAGAUACACAAAAUGUUCAUCCCAGUACUCACAGCUCUAAAGAUGGCUUGGCAGAGUAACGUUAAAUCAUACACCUCGAAGACAAAACUAAAACCCCGAGGGCACCUUGGAAAGGUCUGAGCAGGGGGGUGGGGGGUUUCCUCGGAAGAGGGUGCAUCUGGGGCCAGGCACAGUGACCCACACCUGUAAUCCCAGCACUUGGGGAGGCCGAGGAGGGUGGAUCACCUGAGCCCAGGAGUUCGAGACCAGCCUGGCCAACAUGACAAAACCCCAUCUCUACUAAAAAUACAAAAGUUAGCUGGGUGUGGUGGUGCACAUCUGUAAUCUCAGCUAUUUGGGAGGCAGAGGCAUGAGAAUCACUUGAACACAGGAGGUGGAGGUUGCAGUAAGCUGAGAUCAUGCCACUGCAUUCUACUAGCCUGGACAACAGAGUGAGACUCUGUCUCAAAAAAAAAAAAAAAAAGAAAAAAAAAAAAAAGGGGGUCCAUCUGGACCAUACCAGCAUGGGGCCCAGGGUCUUAACUAAAGAGCUGAGAGGUCAGUGACCAGGGCUUGACUUCCUCCUUCUUUUGGUAAGGAUGAUCCAGGGACAGCCCCUUCUAACAAGUGCCUUGGAAUUUAUGGCCCCUUCCAAACUGCAGUUAAUGGCCUGUAGACACACAGAACUGACCUCCCGACAUCACUGGUUAAGCCCAGAAUCUCUGCACUGAGAGGGUACUUUGGGUUUUGUCUGACUGCCUCAGAGGGCAUCCUUAAAAGUUGCCAGGCCUGUGAUAUAACUUUGUCUUCCUCUGUGCCCUCUCAAUGAAAAUUACAUGUCUGAAAUCUAAAAAUCCAUUCUCAGAAGUAUAGGAGACUCCUGAGAAAAGAACGAAAGGCCAGUAGCAUGGUCUAAUUUUGUUCUAGGAACAUCAGAAUCAUAGCUAACCAGAAAAUGCCAGAACAGUUAGCCAAUUUGGGGCCACACCCAAACAUGGUUUACUUUGUCUCCAUGGUGUUAGUCUGUUGCAAGGUUCACUAGCUGCGCCUCCCACUGUGGUUUGGGGCUACAGAGACAAACCCUUACAGGGAUGACAACACAAGGCUGAGGGCAGACGGGGAGGACACAGUGGCUCUCAGCCUCCCCAUUAGUCAGAUAACUAACAUGAAGUCAUUUUUCUAAAUCAGAGCCCUAACAUCUGUUUUUCAUGAACGUGAAUCACUAGCCAUACUCAUGACAGCAGAAUAAAUGUCAGUAAAUUACUUCUACAAACCAUGAGCUUACAUUCAUGUUAUUGCUUUAUUUGGAUCACCUCUUUUUUUUUUUUUUUUUUUUUGAGAUGGAGUCUCGCUCUGUUACCCAUGCUGGAGUGCAGUGGCAUGAUCUUGGCUUACUGCAGCCUCCGCCUCCCAGGCUCAAGCAAUUCUCCUGCCUUAGCCUCCUGAGUAGCUGGGAUUACAGGUGUGCGCCACCACGCCCAGCUAGUUUUGUAUUUUUAGUAGAGAUGGGGUUUCACCAUGUUGGCCAGGCUGGUCUCGAACUCCUGACCUCAAGUGAACCACCCGCCUCACCCUCCCAAAGUGCUGGGAUUACAGGUGUAAGCCACCACACCUGGCCUAUUUGGAUCCCUUUGACUAAUAUCUAAAAACACAUCUGUUAUACGUGUGGCUCAUGAAAUGAUCACUUGAAAUUUACACAGCACCUUUCAGUUUACAACAGACUUUAUCCACACACUGAGGCUCACAGAGGUUAUAGCACUUGUCCACAGAUGCACAUUGGAAGAGCGAAGCUAGGUUUUCAACCCAGGUCUCCUCAGCCCUUAGCACAUCAUGAUGGAAUGCACCAGCGGCACGCCGCCUGACGCAGAGCUGCUUCCUUCCUCCCAGCCAUCCAGGGGCCUCACUCAGAGCAGAAAGUCAUCACGUGGACUCAACGAAUGCCCUUAGCUGUCUUCCUGGUGGACCAGUGACCACACCUCCCACUCCAGGGGCACUGGCAAAGCAGGGCACACACCCAGGUCAAUGCCAGGAGCCGGAUCUCCCAGUAAGACUAGGGGCACUGGUAGGAGCAUCAAGCAGGGGAUCCAGACCCUGCCUGCUGUCUGCAAAGAAGGUGGUACCCCACGGCCAGCUGGUCCAGCUCAGGCACAAAGUAUUCUUGGCCCUCAGGCCAGGGUCCUGACUGCCUCCGGUGGACAGAAGAGCAAGAGCGUCUGGAAAGCAACAGUGAGCUUGUCUCCAGCAUCCACAACAGCUCCAGUGCCGGGCUUACAUAUGGCAGCAUGCAGCCUUCCCACAGCUGCCCUGUGACCUGGGUACUGAACCUCUCCCACCACCUCCCUCAGCCCCCACCCCCAGGUUAUGAAUGGGCUCUCCCGAUUAAAAGCAUGUUCUCACUGCUUGGAACAUGGUAGGUGCCUUAUAAAUGAUGGGUGGGUAGAUGGAUAGAUGGAUGAAUGGUUUUCCUAACAAAAUGGAGGACUUUGAUGAAUUGUCAUUAAUUCUCAUUGAUCUUCAGUAUUUUAUACUUCUGUAGCAAUUGGGAAUAGAAACUCUUUUAAAAAUGACAUGUCUUUAGGAUAUUUUUUCAUAACUACCUAGCACCCAGCAAUUCAUCACACUUAUUUUUCAUCUAAUAGGUCUUUUAUUGUUUUUGCUUUUUAAAUCUCUUUAGAUUUUCUAAGGAAGGUGAUGGGUUUGAUUAUUGAUUGAACUGAAUUUGAAUUGGAGGCAGAAAGCCUCAGUGGAGGAGUCUAACAGGCACCUCAGCACACACUACCGAUUAGUUAAAGGUGAUGAUAAAAUCAGGCAGCAUGCACAGAACAGAAAGGAGCCUGAAGGAAGGAACCUUGAGACACUUACAUGGGAAGGAUAAGAGGUGUGUAAGAACAAGUCAAGACAGAGAAGGGGUAGUUAGAGAGUCAGAAAAUAGAGACAUCUCCUGGAAGCCACAGAGUGAAGAGAGCAAGGUCAGGAAAGACUUUAAUUUGCAACUAGAAAAACACUGGUCAUUACAUUCUGCCAUUAAAAUUUGGCAAUUAAACAUUUUCUGUGAUUUGUGCAUGUGUAAUAAAUGGUAGACGGCAGCCUUGAAGGAAGGCGGGACCAAGGAAAAGGCUUUGCAUGGGGGAGAUUUAUUCAUGGUUUGUCGGUUUUUAAGGAUGGAAGAGAUGUGAGCCUGUCUGGAGGCUGAAAGGACAGUGAGAAAAGAUGGAGUGGGUGGGGCAAGGCCUGAGGGGCUGCCGACCAAAGGCUGGGUGUGGGGAGCGGGGAGGGGAGCUGCAGGCACUGGCAUCUUGUACUGACUCAGGAUUUGAUCCGAUUGUGAGCUCCAUGGGAAUGAGGACACCAAAGUGGCCAGGAGAGGGCAGAUAACUAGAUGCAGAGCUUCCUGUGCAGGAAGAGUGGAUGGCAGAGUUGAGGGAGGAUAAGGAGCAGGAGGACCCAAUAUUGAAGGACCUGCCUCAGAGCUGUAUGUGUCCCAGUCAAGGUGCACUGUACCUGAGCUCAGAGCCCUUCCAUGGCGUUACAUUACACCAUUAAAUGUUGUUUUGUGAUACACUCUGAGGCAUACUUAAAAUAAUUUCUAAUGUAUUUUACUCUGGAAUUAAACUCAUCUCAAAAAGUGUCUAGGAAUAAGUCUAUAGCAAUCCUAAAUGUAUCCGCUUUCCCAGUGUGUUCCACAGAAUUGAUGCUUUUUAAGUCCAUACCAGAGUGACCACAGUAACCUCCUCUAUACACAGUAGCCAAGGAAAUGGCCACAAACACCUCCAGUAAAGCAUCUCUAAGAAAACCACUUCUGAUUUUUGGGGUUUUUUUGUGUGGGGGGGG